AACAGUGAUCAAGUGAAAA
rnacentral:snRNA from 1 species